AAGUCAGAAUAUGGACAUGCUUUUAAUAUAUAGUGACGUGACAUACAGGCGCGCGCUUCCCCAACUGACGCACCGCGCGCACAGUAUUGACAAGAAAAGAGUUGUGAAACUUUCUAUCUCGUAAGGAGUUAUAACGUGAAAUAAUGACACAGACUGGCUACACCAUCUCAUCUGCAGCAGAGACUGUUGUAUCAAAAGGACAGCGCGUUUGUUUUAGGCACUUUUCACUUCAACUGUGCCUGACAGGAGAAUUGGCUUUUCUGAGCCUUUUAACCGUUGAGUUACCAUGGCAACCGCGUACACAUCAGCUGCUGGAGAGGAGAGGACUCGUCUGACAUUUUCUCUGUUUCUCGUCAGUUAUACCAAAGAAAAGGCCAACAACUGCGACAGAUUGUGAUUUCAGGAGUGUCUUAAAAACCCUCUAAAACAGAGGAGAAGUUCCAAGAAAAUGUCUAAUGGGAGCUGCGGACAGACAUAGAAAACACAGUUUGUUUAUUUCUAAUAAGGAGCUGGAGGCCGUGAAGAAACAGAUCCAUGAUAUUGUGGAGAAGCAGGCCCAGCUGAGCGAGUGGAGAGCUGUGCUGGAAAUAUUCUGGGGUUGAUGCUCAUGAGUCCAGGUUAAGUAUACAGCUAACCCUCCCACCACCUCUACUCUGUGUGGUUCUCAGCAAAGGCCCGGUGUAUCCAGGACGCGAUCUUCCCAGAUGUCCUUCACCCUAUUUCAAAGUGCAAGACAUGAACCAGGCCCUGGGCGACGACCUCUCUCCAUCCGCCGCCUCCGGUCUUCAGGAUCUCCACCAGAACCCGAUUCGCUCCACUUCGCGAGACAGAACACAAUGUUGUGAUCAUCGGAGACUCCAUCGUCCGGCACGUUCGUGCUAUGUUAGCUGAAGGGUGAGGGGAGCAUCGGAGCGGACGUGCUUCACGCUGGGGUUAACAACAACACGCUGCGGCACAGGACCACUUCCCACAUAUCGAUGAGGACAUGAAAGGUUCAGUAGACUUUUUGCUUUAAACAAAUGGUUAUAGUCAUGGUGUAAAGAACAGAAACUGCUUUUUGUUAAUAAUUGGAAUCUUU